rnacentral:rRNA from 1 species
GACGAACGCUGGCGGCGUGCUUAACACAUGCAAGUCGAACGGAAAGGCCCUGCUUGCAGGGUGCUCGAGUGGCGAACGGGUGAGUAACACGUGGGUGAUCUGCCCCUUACUUUGGGAUAAGCCUGGGAAACUGGGUCUAAUACUGGAUAGGACCAUGCUGUAGGUGGUGUGGUGGAAAGAUUAGUUUCGGUAAGGGAUGAGCUCGCGGCCUAUCAGCUUGUUGGUGGGGUAAUGGCCUACCAAGGCGUCGACGGGUAGCCGGCCGGAGAGGGUGGACGGCCACAUUGGGACUGAGAUACGGCCCAGAAGCCUACGGGAGGCAGCAGUGGGGAAUAUUGCACAAUGGGCGCAAGCCUGAUGCAGCGACGCCGCGUGGGGGAUGACGGCCUUCGGGUUGUAAACUCCUUUCAGCCAUGACGAAGCCCUUGUGGUGACGGUAGUGGUAGAAGAAGCACCGGCUAACUACGUG